rnacentral:rRNA from 1 species
UGGGGAAUCUUGCGCAAUGGGGGAAACCCUGACGCAGCGACGCCGCGUGCGGGAUGAAGGCCUUCGGGUUGUAAACCGCUUUCAGCAGGGACGAGGCCUUAUGGUGACGGUACCUGCAGAAGAAGCUCCGGCUAAAUACGUGCCAGCAGCCGCGGUAAUACGUAUGGAGCAAGCGUUAUCCGGAUUCAUUGGGCGUAAAGCGCUCGUAGGCGGUCUGUUAGGUCGGAAAGUUAAAUCCGGGGGCUCAACCCCCGUCCGCUUCCGAUACCGGCAGACUUGAGUUUGGUAGGGGAAGGUGGAAUUCCUAGUGUAGCGGUGGAAUGCGCAGAUAUUAGGAAGAACACCGGUGGCGAAGGCGGCCUUCUGGGCCAUAACUGACGCUGAGGAGCGAAAGCUAGGGGAGCGAACAGG